UCAUUGUAUUAAAUGCUGCCAACAAUGUCAUCACUUCUCCUUUUGGCAUGGGAGAAGGGUUUUAAACAAAGUGAACAAUUACUCUGAUCUAUGGAUGACUGUAGGAACAUCUACAGCGACCCAAUUGUGGCAGACACCACCAGGAAUGAUGAAAUUGUUCAGAUCCUCUGCAUCCUCUUCCAAGAUAGCAGCAGCCUCUUCAGGUUGAUCGUCAUGGAUGAAUCCUCCACUCUUGAACAGCCCUUGCUCAUUAAAUGC
rnacentral:lncRNA from 1 species